GCUGACGCUGCACGGCGUGCCUAUACAUGCAGCCGAGGCGGAACCGGAAUGAGGGGUUGCUCUGGUUCGGCCAGCAGGCGAGACGGGUGAGUACACACGUGGGCAACCUGCCCGCAAGACCGGGAUAACUCCGGGAAACCGGAGCUAAUACCGGAUAACACCGAAGACCGCAUGGUCUUCGGUUGAAAGGCGGCCUUUGGGCUGUCACUUGCGGAUGGGCCCGCGGCGCAUUAGCUAGUUGGUGAGGUAACGGCUCACCAAGGCGACGAUGCGUAGCCGGCCUGAGAGGGUGACCGGCCACACUGGGACUGAGACACGGCCCAGACUCCUACGGGAGGCAGCAGUAGGGAAUCUUCCGCAUGGGCGAAAGCCUGACGGAGCGACGCCGCGUGAGCGAAGAAGGCCUUCGGGUCGUAAAGCUCUGUUGUGAGGGACGAAGGAGCGCCGUUUGAAGAGGGCGGCGCGGUGACGGUACCUCACGAGAAAGCCCCGGCUAACUACGUGCCAGCAGCCGCGGUAAUA
rnacentral:rRNA from 1 species